GCCGGGGUGGCGGAACUGGCAGACGCAAGGGACUUAAAAUCCCUCGGGGCGAGAGUCCCGUACCGGUUCGAUUCCGGUCCUCGGCACCA
rnacentral:tRNA from 1 species